UAUUUCUUGCUAAGGGUAUAUUUGUCCGUCCAUAUUAAUUUGAUUUGAAUCGGUUAUGGACAUCCACUAAUUCAGGGAACAUAUUUUUUGUAAAUCAAAUUCUAAAUGAGAAGAGACUCUCUCUCUCCCCACUCUCCAUUCCCCCAUGACGCCGAUUUCGAUGGCUAAAUUCCAAGAAACUACCUCCGGGGAGGUAGUAUCCGCCAUUUGUUCCCACAAAAAAAGAGUUUCCAGAAAGGGGAAAGACGCGAGAGCUUGUCGCGUGUUUACUUAUAGACGCGUCUCCCUCUCGCGUCUCUAAAAUGAAACACGCAUGACGAAUUAGCGUCUCUAAACAUACCCGCAUCAGGCUGAUGCGUGUCUCCCUUGGAACAAAAGCAGGUCAGGCACUGGCAUGAAGGGCCCCAGCGGCACCGACACCGGCGCCGGAGGAUUCAAUUCGAGAGGGAGGUGCGAAGAGAGGGAGAGGGAGAGGGAGAGGCUCUGGGCGGGAUGGUCGAAAACGAGGCUGAUGUCUUGAAUAGCGGGAUCGGCGGCGGCGUUGGCGUAGAUGUGUUGGUGAUGAUGAUUGUUGAAGGUCUGGUUGUUGAAGAUUAGAGAUGGAUCGUAGAGAGGGAUGAAGGUGUCUACUUAUUCGUGGAAUUUAGCCAGAAAAAGAGUGUAACAGUGAAAGAGAUGAGGUGAUGAUGAAAUGAGAGGCUGCCAGUGCCAUCAUGUUAAUCUCUCUCAGUAUAUACGAUUCUCCUCUCUCAUUUUUACUUUGUUUUCCCAAUAAAUUGAAACACGCUGUUGCCUCACGCGUGUAUACAUUGAAACACGUUGUUGCCUCUCGCGUGUUUAAAUUGAAACACGCAUGGGCCUAACGCGUGUUUAAUAUUGAUACACGCGACAAGCUCUCGCGUCUUUCCCCUUUCUGGAAACUCUUUUUUUGCGGGAACAAAUGGCGGAUACUACCUCCCCGGAGGUAGUUUCUUGGAAUUUAGCCCGAUUUCGAUACCAAAGGAAGACGCCAGGGUUGAAGAUUAAAAGCAAUUCUCCCACCGGAUUCUCUGCAAUUUCUCUUGAGGUUUGUAGGGUUUAUAGGAUUUUCACAAUCGCGCCUCCACUACUCUCAUAAAUCCUUAUGUUCUUUCUGUUCCGAUAUAUUUUCGUUCGACAUAUGCGGUUUUUGGUGGGGUUUACAACGACCCCAAUUUUCACUUCGUUGUUGAGGGUUUUAUUGACAUGGGUGGAGCAUAGUUGCAAGUGUUUCUACUCUAGUUUUGCCAUGGAAAGAGUCGGCGGAUUUCUAAUACAAUUUUGUCAUUCAGUUGUCACGAUUUUUAGGACGAUUUCGCCGUCACUAAGGCCUGGUUUAUGGAAAUCGAAGAAUAUGAUGACUUGUUGUGGAUCAAAUUUGUUACAUUUACAUGUGAUGGAUGGAAGUCAAUGUAUUUUUCUAUUUCAAUAAUAUUUCUAUGUAAUGUAAACUCUACAACAAUUAUUUCAUGAUUAAUGCAAUAACAAGUUGUAUAAAA